UAGGGAAUUUUCGGCAAUGGACGGAAGUCUGACCGAGCAACGCCGCGUGAGUGAAGAAGGUUUUCGGAUCGUAAAGCUCUGUUGUUAGAGAAGAACGUUGGUAGGAGUGGAAAAUCUACCAAGUGACGGUAACUAACCAGAAAGGGACGGCUAACUAAGAGCCAGCAGCCGCGGUAAUACGUAGGUCCCGAGCGUUGUCCGGAUUUAUUGGGCGUAAAGCGAGCGCAGGCGGUUCUUUAAGUCUGAAGUUAAAGGCAGUGGCUUAACCAUUGUACGCUUUGGAAACUGGAGGACUUGAGUGCAGAAGGGGAGAGUGGAAUUCCAUGUGUCGCGGUAAAAUGCGUAGAUAUAUGGAGGAACACCGGUGGCGAAAGCGGCUCUCUGGUCUGUAACUGACGCUGAGGCUCGAAAGCGUGGGGAGCAAACAGG
rnacentral:rRNA from 1 species